GGACGCAUUUCAGAAGUGAAAAAAACAUCGAUGAUAAAGUUUCACCUAUAUUUCGAAAAGUACGCCAAAGAUUGGAACUUCUUCUCUACUUUGGGCAAAAGACAGUUUGCUGGAAUGGUACAAGCACUUAAGUUCUAUAGGCGUGGACUUGUAGGCGAUAGCAGUAAAACUGUAGAAGAGGAAACCACUGAACAAGCACUUUUUGCAUGGGCUUUUAAUGGAUUUCCGGGAAGGGUUCACGACAUCAAAAAUGAAAUUCCAAAUGAGAUUUUGUACAACAUUCAGCUAAAAAAGGAUGCAAACAAUACGGAUUUCAACAAAUCGUCUAAAAACUACG